rnacentral:lncRNA from 1 species
UCUACUUCGGAGAGUUGUGGGAGUUUAAUUUUCACGAUGGGUAGAAAACAUCCUUUAGCUAAUUUCUUGAUUCUCCUCUUGAACUUGGGUACGUUGCUAUCUUCUUUAGCAUGUCCAUAUUGCCCUUAUCCUACUCCUCCCCCUCCGUGUCCCCCAACAUUUCCACCAAAACACCCUCCACAUGUAAAGCCACCUUUCCACCCCAAACCACCGCAUCACAAGCCACCCCAUGUCAAACCACCGCACAAGCCCCCGUAUGUUCCUAAACCACCUUAUUCCCCAAGCCCUAAACCGCCUUACGUGCCAAAACCACCUCAUACUCCAGUCCCUAGGCCACCAUAUUUCCCCAAACCACCUUACACACCAAGGCCUAAGCCACCAUAUGCGCCAAAACCACCUUAUACGCCAACCCCUAAGCCACCAUAUUUCCCCAAACCACCUUACACACCAAGGCCGAAGCCACCAUAUGUGCCAAAACCACCUUAUACGCCAGCCCCUAAGCCACCAUAUUUUCCCAAACCACCUUACACACCAAGGCCUAAGCCACCAUAUGCACCAAAACCACCUUAUACGCCAACACCUAAGCCACCAUAUUUCCCCAAACCACCUUACACACCAAGGCCUAAGCCACCGUACGUGCCAAAACCACCGUACACACCAAGGCCUAAGCCACCGUACGUGCCAAAACCACCAUACACACCAACCCCUAAGCCACCGUACGUGCCAAAACCACCUUACACCCCAACCCCUAAGCCACCGUACGUGCCAAAACCACCGUAUACCCCAACUCCUAAGCCACCGUACGUCCCAUCGCCACCUUAUACCCCUCGCCCUAAACCACCGUAUGUACCAUCACCACCUUAUACCCCUAGCCCUAAACCACCGUAUGUGCCAUCACCACCAUAUACCCCAAGCCCUACCCCACCAUAUGUACCAUCACCACCGUAUACCCCAAGCCCACCAUAUGUACCAUCACCACCGUAUACCCCAAGCCCUAGCCCACCACCACCACCAAGUGGAACACCGUGUCCUCCGCCGCCGCCACCAAAGGUGAGACCGUACCCUCCACCACCAUCACAAACUUGUCCCAUUGAUACUCUCAAGCUUGGUGCAUGCGUCGACGUGUUGGGCGGUCUAAUACACAUCGGUAUAGGCAGCAGUGCAAAGGACGCUUGCUGCCCCGUGCUGCAGGGGCUACUGGACUUGGAUG